UGCCUUCAGGUGUUGCCCUUUCAUUGCCCCCCCCCUUGAUGAAAGAGGCGUCAGCAAAGGCAAACAUCAAGUCUUGGGUCGGCCUCUGACCGGUUCCUUAAUGGUGACCUGGUCAGAAGCUCCAUACCAAGAACAGAG
rnacentral:snoRNA from 1 species